UACAGAGGAGCCAAGCGUUGUCCGGAUUGACUGGGCGUAAAGCGCACGCAGGCGGGGGUGUGCGUGGGGUGUGAAAUCUGGCCGCUUAACGGCCAGGCGCCAUCCCAUACGGCACGCCUGGAGCCUUGCAGAGGUCGGUGGAAUUGCCGGUGUAGUGGUGAAAUGCGCAGAUAUCAGGAGGAACACCGGUGGCGAAGGCGGGACUCUGGGCCGAUACUGACGCUGAGGAGCGAAAGCGUGGGGAGCGAACAGG
rnacentral:rRNA from 1 species